rnacentral:rRNA from 1 species
GACGAACGCUGGCGGCGUGCUUAACACAUGCAAGUCGAACGGAAAGGCCCUGCUUUUGUGGGGUGCUCGAGUGGCGAACGGGUGAGUAACACGUGAGUAACCUGCCCUUGACUUUGGGAUAACUUCAGGAAACUGGGGCUAAUACCGGAUAGGUGCUCCUGCUGCAUGGUGGGGGUUGGAAAGUUUCGGCGGUUGGGGAUGGACUCGCGGCUUAUCAGCUUGUUGGUGGGGUAGUGGCUUACCAAGGCUUUGACGGGUAGCCGGCCUGAGUGGGUGACCGGCCACAUGGGGACUGAGAUACGGCCCAGACUCCUACGGGAGGCAGCAGUGGGGAAUAUUGCACAAUGGGGGGAAGCCUGAUGCAGCAACGCCGCGUGCGGGAUGACGGCCUUCGGGGUGUAAACCGCUUUCGCCUGUGACGAAGCGUGAGUGACGGUAAUGGGUAAAGAAGCACCGGCUAACUACGUG